GGCAAGGAGAUCGCCUACUUCGUGAAGAUCUACCGUGAGUAAGGCUAGUCCUCCGUGGACGAAAGCCGUGGUGGGAUAGACAAGGCCGCUUCUUUGUGGACCCUCUGUGGGUGGAGCCCUCCAUGGACUCUCGCAGUCGUUACCCUCUGUGGGUUGAAGUCUCCACUAACAUGGACGUACGACAGCGCCACCUAUCGGAACCAUGGCAAAAAUCACCGUCUCCACCUCA
rnacentral:lncRNA from 1 species